GACGAACGCUGGCGGCGUGCUUAACACAUGCAAGUCGAACGGAAAGGCCCUGCUUUUGUGGGGUGCUCGAGUGGCGAACGGGUGAGUAACACGUGAGUAACCUGCCCUUGACUUUGGGAUAACUUCAGGAAACUGGGGCUAAUACCGGAUAGGAGCUCCUGCUGCAUGGUGGGGGUUGGAAAGUUUCGGCGGCUGGGGAUGGACUCGCGGCUUAUCAGCUUGUUGGUGGGGUAGUGGCUUACCAAGGCUUUGACGGGUAGCCGGCCUGAGAGGGUGACCGGCCACAUUGGGACUGAGAUACGGCCCAGACUCCUACGGGAGGCAGCAGUGGAGAAUAUUGCACAAUGGGCGGAAGCCUGAUGCAGCAACGCCGCGUGCGGGAUGACGGCCUUCGGGUUGUAAACCGCUUUCGCCUGUGACGAAGCGUGAGUGACGGUAAUGGGUAAAGAAGCACCGGCUAACUACGUG
rnacentral:rRNA from 1 species